rnacentral:rRNA from 1 species
UGUGCCAGCAGCCGCGGUAAUUCCAGCUCCAAUAGCGUAUAUUAAAGUUGUUGCAGUUAAAACGUCCGUAGUCAAACUUUAGUCUUACUGGUGUAGUGGCCUGGUCUUCAUUGACCAAGCUCAUUGCUGCCAGAGACUCCAUGUUCAUUAAGGGAGAAUCUCUAGGGGUUCUUUUUUUAUUUGAACAAUUACCAUGAGCAAAUCAGAGUGUUUAAAGCAGGCUUUUAAGCUUGAAUGUGCUAGCAUGGAAUAAUGAAAUAUGACUCUAGUCCUAUUUUCGUUGGUUUAGGUACUUCAGUAAUGAUGAAUAGAAACGGUUAGGGGCAUUUGUAUUUGGUCGCUAGAGGUGAAAUUCUUGGAUUGACCGAAGACAAACUACUGCGAAAGCAUUUGACCCGGGACGUUUUCAUUGAUCAAGGUCUAAAGUUAAGGGAUCGAAGACGAUUAGAUACCGUCGUAGUCUUAACCACAAACUAUGCCGACUAGAGAUUGGGCGUGUUUAUUAUGACUCGCUCAGCAUCUUAGCGAAAGUAAAGUUUUUGGGUUCUGGGGGGAGUAUGGGACGCAAGGCUGAAACUUAAAGGAAUUGACGGAAGGGCACCACCAGGAGUGGAGCCUGCGGCUUAAUUUGACUCAACACGGGGAAACUCACCAGGUCCAGACAUAGUAAGGAUUGACAGAUUGAAAGCUCUUUCUAGAUUCUAUGGGUGGUGGUGCAUGGCCGUUCUUAGUUCGUGGAGUGAUUUGUCUGGUUAAUUCCGAUAACGAACGAGACCUUAUUCUGCUAAUUAGACAGGCCAA